GACGAACGCUGGCGGCGUGCUUAACACGUGCAAGUCGAACGAGACGAUUGAAAGCUUGCUUUUGAAAGUCGAGUGGCAAACGGGUGAGUAACGCGUAGACAACCUGCCUUUGAGAUGGGGACAACAGUCCGAAAGGACUGCUAAUACCGAAUGUUGUGGAACUUCCGCAUGGAAGCUCCACCAAAGAUGACCUCUUCCUGAAAGUUAUCGCUCAAAGAUGGGUCUGCGUCUGAUUAGCUAGUUGGUGGGGCAACGGGCCUACCAAGGCGACGAUCAGUAGCCGGUCUGAGAGGAUGAACGGCCACAUUGGAACUGAGACACGGUCCAGACUCCUAC
rnacentral:rRNA from 1 species